AUGGGAAAAAAAAAAACCAAAAAAAGGAGAGAGAGAAAUUAAACGAACCCCUCGACUCGAGCUCGAGCUCCAACUCGGAGGAGAUCUCCGGCGAGGCGCGGGACGCCGGCGAUGGCGGCGGGGGCGGAAGACGCGCUGUACGAGAUCCGCCGCCACGCGUCGGGAUCCCACGUGAUCCCUCAUCAGGAAGGAUACCAAGGCGCUGCGACAAGUAGUGGUGGUUCAGACGCCGGAGGAGGGGUCCUCUCCUAUCUCUCCUUGCAAGGCGUGAGCAAGCUUAGGGAGAGGUGGACUAGGUACAGUGCGCUGGGGAGGAGUAGACAGAGGAAGAGGGCGGAUGGCGUGGCAUUGUUCGUGUCGCCAAACGCGGAAUAUGUGUCUGUAACUGUUGGGAAUCGCAUCAUCAUCUUGAGGAAACGCGAUGGCUAUGCAUCACCUUGCGGUGUUUACACAAAAUAACAUUUUUCACCAAUGGGGCUUGGCUGGAGGCUCAAGGAAUUUUUGGUGUGGUGGAUGACCUAAGCACACUCUACUUAAUCAAAGAAAAUGGGGACUUAUUAGCAAGGAGGACAUGCGAUCAGUUGAAGCUAUCUUCGUCUAUUAUUGAUCUGGUUGUGCAGGAUGGUUCAAGCUUGCUUAGGCCGGGCUUCUACAUUUUUACAAGUGACUGCAUGGUUCAUAGAUUUGAUUACACUCAAGGACCUGAGGCCAGUUUGUGUGAAGUUCCUAUAUCAACUAAAGAUGUGAUGUCAGCUAGGACUAUGCAGUUACCUCGGAGUUUGUCGUGCAUUGAUUACGAUGAACAUCACUCACUAUUUGUCCUAGCUGCAGAUUCCAAUGUUUCAUUUAGCUCCAAUAGUUAUUCUGGUAUGCCCAUGUACUAGUCUGUUUUCAACUGCUACACCUGUCACUGGUAGUCAGUCCUGCACUGUGUAGUCUAUUCGCUAAAUUUUUUCACAAUAUGGAUUUCUGCUUAUCUUCUCCAUUAUCGAUCUGUCCUUGAUAUUACACUUAGAGAUGAAGUUAACCGUAUCAGAAAAGAGUACGAGGAACUUCUAUCAAAGAAUAACUCACUAAAGGAAAAACUUGAAGGCAAACAGCACAAAAUUGAUGAAGCAGGACUUAACAAGAAGCUGCAACAUUCUGGCGAUGACAGCCAGAAAAAAGGAAACUAAUUGAGCUAUCAUGCAAUGCUCGCAUGGCAUGGCCCUAACUAGAUUAUUGGGAGGCGCAAUUGUAGUAUGCGUAUUAACUCCUUACUUUAUUGCAGUUAAUUGUUACCAGGUUGUGAUAAUGUUAAUGCCAACCUUGUGUGUGGGUGGUUCCUGUUUCAGAUCUAUCUUGGCUUAUCUUUUAGAAGUCAAGAUGUGACUGAAGACGUAGGUUGUGACCCAGUUCACUGUAUGUGUCGAAGGAUUUCUCCAGCCGGGUGGCGGAGUGCACCUGCCUAAUCCUAGUUUAGGAUGAGUUUGGGGAAGUCAAGGAAUGCUAGAUCAAGAGGCGUAUGAACAUGGAAAGCACAUAGGGGUUUAGACACAGGGGUUUAGAGUGAUUCAGGCCGCCGGAGCGUAAAACCCUACGUCCACUGUGUGUUGUAUUGCCUGUGAGUUUGUGAAACUUGUGUGUUGGUGGAACCUGAAAAAGCUUGCGUUCUAACGUGCGCGCUCUCCCUUUUAUAGACUUAAGGGGAGCGCGUACACUGAGCGGGAUCCCGACAGGUGGAUCCAGCGACAUAUUAAAUAACGUACACAUUGGAGCUUUGAAUGCCACAGAUUCGGAAAUCUUACUCUU